GGGCGCAUAGCUCAGCGGGAGAGCACCUCCCUUACAAGGAGGGGGUCGCAGGUUCGAUCCCUGCUGCGCCCA
rnacentral:tRNA from 1 species